rnacentral:rRNA from 1 species
CCCUGCCCUUUGUACACACCGCCCGUCGCUACUACCGAUUGAAUGGCUCAGUGAGGCUUCCGGACUGGCCCAGGGAGGUCGGCAACGACCACCCAGGGCCGGAAAGCUAUCCAAACUCGGUCAUUUAGAGGAAGUAAAAGUCGUAACAAGGUCUCCGUUGGUGAACCAGCGGAGGGAUCAUU